UGGGCCGGCCAGACGGUCGCGUCGAGCGCACGCCCCGCAAGGGGGACGGCCUCGCCGAGGAACGUCCGGGCUCCGCAGAGCAGGGCGGUGGGUAACACCCACCCGGAGAAAUCCGCGAGAACAGUGCAACAGAGAGCAGACCGCCUCCGGCAUCACGCCGGCGGUAAGGGUGAAACGGUGGUGUAAGAGACCACCAGGGGCCCGAGUGAUCGGGCUCGCUGGGUAAACCUCGCCCGGAGCAAGGUCAGACAGACACCGUUGACGCGGCUCGCCGAGGUGUCGGGUAGACCGCUAGAGGGCGGCGGCAACGUCGUCCCGAGAGAGAUGGCCGUCGAAGGGAAGCGAUUCCUGGAACAGAACCCGGCGUAUCGGCCGACCCACUUG
rnacentral:RNase_P_RNA from 1 species